UACGAAGGGGGCUAGCGUUGUUCGGAAUCACUGGGCGUAAAGCGCACGUAGGCGGAUUGUUAAGUCGGGGGUGAAAUCCUGAGGCUCAACCUCAGAACUGCCUUCGAUACUGGCAAUCUCGAGUCCGGAAGAGGUUGGUGGAACAGCUAGUGUAGAGGUGAAAUUCGUAGAUAUUCGCAAGAACACCAGUGGCGAAGGCGGCUCACUGGCCCGAUACUGACGCUGAGGUGCGAAAGCGUGGGGAGCAAACAGG
rnacentral:rRNA from 1 species